GAUGAACGCUGGCGGCGUGCCUAAUACAUGCAAGUCGAGCGAACAGACGAGGAGCUUGCUCCUCUGACGUUAGCGGCGGAAGGGUGAGUAACACGUGGAUAACCUACCUAUAAGACUGGGAUAACUUCGGGAAACCGGAGCUAAUACCGGAUAAUAUAUUGAACCGCAGGGUUCAAUAGUGAAAGACGGUUUUGCUGUCACUUAUAGAUGGAUCCGCGCCGCAUUAGCUAGUUGGUAAGGUAACGGCUUACCAAGGCGACGAUGCGUAGCCGACUUGGAAGGUGGACCGGCCACACUGGAACUGAGACACGGUCCAGCCUCCUACGGGAGGCAGCGGUAGGGAAUCUUCCGCAAUGGGCGAAAGCCUGACGGAGCAACGCCGCGUGAGUGAUGAAGGUCUUCGGAUCGUAAAACUCUGUUAUUAGGGAAGAACAAAUGUGUAAGUAACUAUGCACGUCUUGACGGUACCUAAUCAGAAAGCCACGGCUAACUACGUG
rnacentral:rRNA from 1 species